AGAGUUUGAUCAUGGCUCAGAGUGAACGCUGGCGGCAGGCCUAACACAUGCAAGUCGAACGGCAGCACAGCAGAGCUUGCUCUGUGGGUGGCGAGUGGCGGACGGGUGAGGAAUACGUGGGAAUCUGCCCAGUCGUGGGGGAUAACGUAGGGAAACUUACGCUAAUACCGCAUGCGCCCUUCGGGGGAAAGCCGGGGACCUUCGGGCCUGGCGCGAUUGGAUGAGCCCACGUCGGAUUAGCUAGUUGGCGGGUAAAGGCCCACCAAGGCGACGAUCCGUAGCUGGUCUGAGAGGAUGAUCAGCCACACUGGAACUGAGACACGGUCCAGACUCCUACGGGAGGCAGCAGUAGGGAAUAUUGGACAAUGGGCGCAAGCCUGAUCCAGCCAUGCCGCGUGAGUGAAGAAGGCCCUCGGGUUGUAAAGCUCUUUUGUCCGGAAAGAAAAGCGCCGGGUUAAUACCCUGGUGUCCUGACGGUACCGGAAGAAUAAGCACCGGCUAACUUCGUG
rnacentral:rRNA from 1 species